rnacentral:rRNA from 1 species
UACGUAGGUGGCGAGCGUUGUCCGGAUUUACUGGGCGUAAAGAGCGCGCAGGCGGCUGGUCAAGUCCGAUGUGAAAGCUCCCGGCUUAACUGGGAAAUUGCAUCGGAAACUGAUCGGCUGGAAGGUGGGAGAGGGUAGCGGAAUUCCCGGUGUAGUGGUGAAAUGCGUAGAUAUCGGGAGGAACACCAGUGGCGAAGGCGGUUCUCUGGGCCUUACCUGACGCUGAGGAGCGAAAGCGUGGGGAGCGAACAGG